UACGGAGGGUGCAAGCGUUAUCCGGAUUCACUGGGUUUAAAGGGUGCGUAGGCGGAUUUGUAAGUCCGUGGUGAAAUCUCCGAGCUUAACUCGGAAACUGCCAUGGAUACUAUAAGUCUUGAAUGUUGUGGAGGUUUGCGGAAUAUGUCAUGUAGCGGUGAAAUGCUUAGAUAUCGUUUGGAACGCCGAUGGUGAAAACAGGUCGCUGGGGUUGUGCUGACGCUGAGACACGAAAGCCAGGGGAGCGAACGGG
rnacentral:rRNA from 1 species